CAAUUCUCAAAUAACUAUUAUGAUGAGUUUUGUUCUACAUACUCAGAUAGAAGUACUUGUGCUGUCCAAUCAAUAAAGAUUGUGUUUGUUCCAGUGUUAAUUUUGACAGGCAUUUUUGAUUUAGCAUUAGUCUAAACUCCACCAAACUACUGUUAUAAGCAUGAGCCCCGUCAGACUGGUAGUGGCUGAGGUGUUGCAACAAUAUAUAGUGAUAUUCUCAAUGUUACCCAGAAAACAGGAUACAGGGGUGUGACGAGACACUUAUCCCACGAGACGAGACGAGACACGAGACUGGGUUCAUGAGAGCGAGACGAGAUUUUUUUUUUUUUUUUAAAGAAAUCCUCAAUGAU